ensembl:lincRNA
AUGCUGGCGGAGGCGCAGAGAGAGACACAGCGCAGCAACACGGAGCUGGAGCGUGAGAGAGCUGUGCGGCGGAGGCUGGAGCUGGAGCUGAUCUCAUUACAGCAGGAGCUGGAGAGACUGCGAGAGGAGCGAAGCGCUGAGCAGCUUCAGAAACCCUCGACCCCUGUGUGGCUCCAGGCGGCUCCGCAGGGCUCAUCAGUGGACCGGGACGAGCCUCUGAACAGCAGCCGCUCGGUGGUGGACGGAGAUCCUGAUAAUGAGGAGAGCAGCGGGUACGAGGACGCACCGUCAGAGUUCACCGCCACUCCAGACAGAGACCCUCUGGACACCGAAGAAGACCCGGAGAAUACCCCGAGCAGCGGCCCCAAUCCCGGAGACUCCUGCGCUCUCUGCUGAGUCACACACAGCCCAGCCGCUGUCUGGAACUACUGUCAGCUCACAACACGCUACACUGUUCACACACACCGCUGCUCACGCGGCUCAGAGGAUCUGCUCGUACUGACCGAUUUAAUUCAUCUCUAUAGUAUGAAGUCUGUAAUGACCAACAUCUGCCCCUGAACCCUGCCCACACCAGAGACAUGACACCCCCCCCAUCAGAUCAUGCUAUCAGCACCGUAUUUGAAUGGUUCUGGGAUUGGGGUUAGGGAUUAGGUAGGUUAGGCCAAUAUUACAGCUUCACAUCACACUACUCCACAUCAACAUUUACACUGGCAGCAUAUUCAAUCAUCAAAAUGUGCUGCCUACUUUAUAAAUCUGACAAGGCAGGAGAAAUCCUGCAAACGCUAUAUCCCUACAGCACGCUCACUGGACUGAACCACUCCUCUCUCUAAUGCAUACAGUAGAUGCAGACGCCUGAUGUACAGCGGGAACACAGCUUCUGUUCAUGAGUGAUGAGUUCAUCAGCUUUACUGAGAGACUCUGGAGAAAUCCGCACAUCUCUGCUCAUUAUUCCAUCUGCUUUAUUACUACUAGUGUGUGUUACAGGGAUGUUCAGCGUGUUAUUAAACACGAGCUGUUACUCAUGAUCACGACUUAAACCUUGAGUCUGUGUCUCUGAGGGACCAACACAUCAUCUAUUGUCUUGAGAACAGUAGAGGAGAGGAGAGGAGAGGAGAGGAGAGGAGAGGAGAGGGUUUCUCUGCUGUGCCAGUAGAAUAUCUCAUCUAGCGUCUCAUUCUAAAACAUCCUUCACACGCAGCCUCACUGAAUCUGUGUAGUAAGUGCUUAUGAAUGAACAUUUGACACUGGAACAUGUGAAGCAUCUGAUUUCCCCACACUUCUGCACAGUUUAUACUCAUGCUGGAUGACUACGAUUAUGUAGGAGAUGUUUUAUAUUGCUGUUUUUACAUACAGAAGCUCUGUUGGCUCUAAUAAUCUCACACUUUAGAUUUUGUAGAAGCGAUCAAUCAAUCAAUCAAUCAAUCAAUCAAUCAAUCAAUCAAUCAAUCAAUCAAUCAAUCAAUCAAUCAAUCAAUCAAUCAAUCAAUCAAUCAAUCAGUCAGUCUGUCUGUCUGUCUAUCUAUCAGUCAGUCAGUGAGCUUCUAUAAGUCAGAUCCUGAGUGUGAAGUCUUUAAACACUGAUUUCUGAUUUGUCAUGACCGUAAUCAGCUGUCAGACCCGCCGGCAGUUCUCAAUCUUGCAAUUGCUGAAUUUAUUGUAAAAUCUCACACUUUUUGUCUAUUUCUACAGAUUUCCUGCAUAUUUUGGGUGGUCAGCAGGACGCUGUUCACAUUUCUCUCUCUCUACAACACGCCAUCAGCACAGUGUUACGUACAAAAACACAAGCACAUAAGAUAUUUGGAAUAUUAAUCUGAAAAAAGCCAUAAAAUUGGCUGCAAAUUUCCUAAAAUCUGCCCACAUCAUCUGCCGUUUUCAGAGUAGGAUUGAGAGAUUUUGCUGGAGGGUCUGACUGCUGCUGUUCAUGAGGAGUGAUGGAGCGUCUUCAGCUCUCAGGUCAACACUUGAGCGUUUGUUUACUUCUGCUUUUGUAUUGUGUGAUUGUGGAAGGGGAUUAGAUCUGUUAGUUCUCGCGGGGGAUGAUGGGAAGCUUCUGUUCUGUGUUCAGUGAACGUGUUUUAAUGCGUAUGAAAUGAUUAUUGGUUUUAUUAAUGGAUGUCAGCAGAUUGUGAGGUCAGAGCUCAUGCUCAACGUGUGAUUUGUAUGAUCAUCUUCUGUUCAUAUCCAGGAAUGUCUGAUCUAAUAAAUGAUUGCUUUACAUUGUGUUGUCAUGGUUCAGUGCUGUUCAGUGUGCUGUUCAUCCUAAUGUGAAGUGAAUCUUCUCCAGUGUGGAUUAGUGUGUGUCCAUCCUUGUUAAAGCGGCUUUACACAGCAGCAGAAAUUAAACAGAGGCAGAAUAACUUCAUUAAGUCCCGGAAUGUGCCCCUUUAAGAAGUUACAGAGUAAGAGUGUGAAUAAUUUGAUGUGGCCAGAUUGAACCAAGCAGCACUGCGAGUAACAGCAGUUGAGUAAUCAGAUUACUUUUCUGAAGUCACUGGUAAAUGAAUCCAUUACUUCUUCAUUAUAUAUGAUGAAUACAGAGCACAGAGGCGCACUCAUCUACAUCUCUCUGACUCAUAUUUACUCCAGGUUAUCUGGAAGUGUUGAUUUUAUCCUCUUCUGUUUCUCGUUGGAUGGAAACGCUGCUUCAUUCACUAAUGUAUGCAUUAUUCAGGUUUGGUGCAGGGGUCUAGUUUGCAUAUUUAUAUGGAAACACAGCUGCUGUUGGUGGUUAGUUGUGUCAUCUGCAUUAAUCUGAUGAUCUGUGUGAACUACCUCUCCAGUUUACACACUACAGACUGAUGAAGGUCCUCUAAGAGCUCAUACCCAGCCUAAUUAAGCCUUCUGCUCGUUCUCUUACAGCUAGUUUGGGUCAUUAGUUAAAUAAACCUUGCAGUGAUGCCACAUCCAGUACAUAUGUAGAGUAAAUCAGUAGGAAAAUUAGCUCUGCUGUCUGUGCUUUAAGGACAGAAAACAAGACAAUCGCUCCAUCUGACCAUCUGAAGCAGCUGAUGCAGACAGACAAGCUGUGCUAGUGAACAUGCCGUGCUUUCUAUAAACACACACACACACACACACACACACUCACACACUCCAGCACCAGAGAAGCAGAUCUGCAGUGUUUGAGGACUGUUGAUUGUACACUACUGACGCAUUAAAACUACUAUAGUAACCCGGAUGAAAAGACUGUUACUAUAGAAACACAAUUAUAACAGUUGAUCUACAGGUGAUUCUACAGUUGCUAUGGUAACACAACAACUACAGUAAUUGAUCUGUUGUGGUGAUUCUACCGUUUCUAUGGUAACACAGCAACUACAGUAAUAACUCUGUUGUGGUGAUUCCACAGUUGCUAUGGUAACACUACAACUACAGUAAUUGAUCUGUUGUGGUGAUUCUACAGUUGCUAUGGUAACACUACAACUACAGUAAUUGAUCUGUUGUGGUGAUUCUACAGUUGCUAUGGUAACGCUAUGGUAUGAUCUGCUGUAUCCCCCACAGUCCAAACACAUGCGCUAUUGGGAAAUGGAUGAACUAAACUGGCCGUAGUGUAUGAGUGUGUGUGUGAAUGAGUCUUUAUUGGUGUUUCCCAGUACUGGGUUGCAGCUAGAAGCUAUGUAAAACAUAUGCUGGAAUAGUUGGUGGUUCAUUUCGCUGUGCCGACCCCUGAUAAAUAAAGAGACUGAGCUGAAGGUAAAUGAAUGAAUGAAUUAGCAGGCGUUGUUUUUUGCCUGUCUGUAAAAUGCAUCUUGAUUUAAGAAUAUCUGGAUGUUUGGACUGGGAACAAGACAAAAACUCCAUGCAAGAAAAGCAUUUGUGCAAUAUACAGUAUACUCCAAUAAUGGAGUUAGCUGAUAUGUAACAUCAAACAUGUGCAUGCUCAUCACCAGAGUGUCAUCAAGCCAUCUGAGAAACCCAUGACAAUGAAUCAGACUGUGUCCAACACACUGGUGUCCUCUAAAUCUGCUGUAUCUCCUCACAG